ensembl:lncRNA
CAGCUGUGGGAGGCAACAGGAACAAGAGAGCUCUUGUACUGCCAGGGCUCAGAGCUUGCAAGCCUAAAUCUGCUAUUUGCUUUGCAAUACGUUUCUUUCCUUCUACAGUGUUUAUUUGAAUGUAGAUUUGCACUUCAGUGUAGCCGGAGCUCUUCCUGGAGCUUAGAAAUGAGAUGUCACAGUGCCAACUCUGUUAGCUCCUUUUGCAGGCUCUGUACUUUUUUCUGGGCAAGGAGGGAGAUUUGACCUCAUUUUCUCCAUUGGAGAGGCUAGUGUUGUAGGAAUAGGUGUGUCAUAUAUGCUGUAGCUCUUUUCUGGAGUGGAAGCACCUCUGCAGCAUGAAGAUGGCCUCUCCCAAGGAGGAGACUCAAGAUGAAAUGAUGACCAUUCCCCAUCACAGCAGAACACUUCUCUGACUUUGCAGACUGUGUUUACAACCAGAAUGGAAUGUGUUCUGGGCAGAAACAACAGAAAAGCUGGGAGUUGAAUAUCGAACUUCAUGUCUUUAUCCUUGCUGUGAAGACAGACCUUCCACAUUGAGUGAAAAUGCC